rnacentral:misc_RNA from 1 species
UACUACUUCUCUGGUGUUUACGUCGUCGGAAUGCUUGAAUCCGUUAGGCCAGGGCGUUGCCUUGUUUUGUUGAUUUCUGUUGUUAAGACAAUGUUGAGAUGAAUAAAAUUAUUUGGAUGGAUCGUGGAGCCAGCUGAUGAGUGAAAAAUUGCUACGAGUGUGUCUAUUGCCGCUGUCUGUUAUACUGAGGGGAGCUGCUGCCUUUGUGUUGCUGUCAAAUCCUGAUAUCCCUUGAAUAUUUGGAACAAGAAUGGUUGCCAUAAGAUCAUGUUGGUCUCCUUGCAUAUGGAACAGCAAUGUCAAAGUUGGAACCUACAUGGUUGCAGCUUAUACUGCAUCCUUCAGUGUUGUCCUAAUUACACUGAUUGCAUAUAUGAUGAGUGGUGGGGAAUCAACCCAGCUAUAUUCACCAUUAUUUGAGACGGAUGUCAGAGGAUCUAUGCUUGGUGUUGGAGGGUUUUUCAUUGCCUACCUGCUGCUGCUGAUUGCAUUCUCUGUAUUCCUCAUUUUUGGUGUGGUGGAAACUAAUCGAGGAAUGAUGCUGCCAUGGAUGAUCUGCUUUGGAAUAGUAAUAUUGUUUCAGCUAGUUUUUGGCCUGUGGUUGCUUGGUGGAUACUACAUAUAUCUGGAUUCCGUUAUGGCAGCUCUUGUUGAUUGGCUUUGGAUGGCAUACAAUGCAUACUGCUGGACCUGUGUGUAUUCUCUGUACCAGAUAUUUAAGGAAAUGCAGUCCCCAAAUAUUGAACUGCUGUACCCAUGAACUAUAGCUGUUGCUCUGAUCAUCAGAAAAGCACCAUCUAAAUCUAUGAAUAGAUUAGAUGAACACAGGGAUCUGGUCUCUCAUUAUGUGCACAAUAUCCACUAAAAUUCCCCAGCAUGCUUUGGCUUUAUUAUGUUACUUCACGUGAAUAGAAACAGUACUUCCACUUCAAAUAAAAGUGUUCAUAGCAUUAUGUAUAUUUUUAGUUUUCAUUGUGAGGAAAGUUCAUUUGUGGAUCUUAUCACAUAACCAUUGUGAUUUAUAUUGCAUUCAUAUGAAUAAUACAUUGGAACACUGUGUUCUGGAACAUUUACUCCAUGCUAUGGUAUCAGUAAAUACUACAAACUAGUUCCUGUCAACCAAUCAGACUUAGAAUUACCAUUUGUGGGCAUUGGUAUUAUGAAUGUAUGGUUAACACCCAUCUGUAGUUUUUCAAAGAUAAUGUAGAUGCAUUCUUAAAAUUUGUGUUCUGUUGCACUUGUAGCCACUAUCUAGCUUACAUGUAAUUAUCACUGAAAAACUGGCUAUUUUUAAAGUUAUUCUACAGCAAAGAGGCCUUGCUAUAUGUUGUAUAGUUUUGUCAUCACGCAGAUGUAAAAUUUGCCUUUGCCUGUUUCAGUAAUUAAAAUAUUCUUGCAUCACUGUCUUCCAACACACACACACACACACACACACACACACACACACACACACACACACACACACACAAAACAGCGAUCAUUUUACAAAUAAGAUUAAUGCUGCCAUGUAUCCUGUUAUCAUCAGUAUCUGAAGGUAUUUCUAAUCUCACAGAGUUUGUAAACAUAGACAAGAUAUAUUUCACACCUACUGUGAAGUGUCAGAGAAUGUACAUAACAAAGCAAUAAGUGACUAGCAUAAUAGUACUUUUAGAUAGAGUAAGAUUAUUAUAAAAUGCUACACAGGAGCUAAUGUGUAUUGAUUAUGUACACAGUAAAUUUUAAUCUAAAAGUAUCUGUCAUACUUUCAAAUUCAUAAAUACUGUGCAUUAAGGAGAGAUGCCACAGGUUCUGUUUUUAGAGGGUUGAAUUAUUUUGCAUGUUCAGCCUGUGUUCAAACAUUCAUUCUCUGUUCCCCACUGAGUAAUUUAAAUUUAUUAAUUAUCUUUUACUAAACUGUGGUUGCCUUUUUGCACACCACUGUUUGCAAGGGGAAAAUCGUAUACAUGCAUCAUUGUUUCUAAUUCUUAAUAUGUCCAAUAAAAUAUUAGUGAGAAGUAUUAUAAAACUUUUUUUACUGUAAUGUUAUUUUGUAGUUGAAUGUUAUAUUUGUACUUUUUAUAGUAGUUAAUGUUAGUCUUUCAUGAAGACUGACUCUUAUUUUUUUAUCACAAAAAUUGUCAAACAUUGAUUACUCAGAAUGUACCUUAAAGUAUUCUACACAAUUCCGUCCAAUUAAGAAACUGUGUUUCAUUGUGAAAAGUAAUCCAUCCAUUGUUGCAUCUUUGUCAAAUGCAUUUUUACCCAUACAUUUGUUAAAUGUUUACAAUAUUUUAUGCAGUAAAAUGUUUAAUAAACAUAUGUUUUAUUGAAAAUC